UAGGCAAGCAGGGCACCCAGCCAGAAUGGCACGAUCCUGAAGCCCAACUUUCACAAGGACUGGCAGUGGCGCAGCUAGCCCACGGGGCAGAUCUGCAAAAGCAAGGCGGCCAGCAAAAGCAGGCUGCAUGGCCCGCUCAUAUGGGCCCAUCCUCCCAUGGUAAGGUGCCCCACGCUGAGGCAUCACUACAAAGCACGAGCUGGCAGGGGCCUCAGCUUGGAGGAGUUAAGGGUGCCUGGCAUUCACAAGAAGGUGGCCCAGACCAUUGGCAUCUCUGAGGACACAAGAAGGAGGAACAAGUCCACCGAGGCCCUGCAGGCCAAUGUGCAGAAGCUGAAGGAGUACUGCUCCUCGCUCAUCAUCUUCCCCAGGAAGCCCUUGGCCCCCAGGAAGGGAGACAAUUCUGCUGCAGAACUCAAACUGGAUACUCAGCUGACAGGACCAGAAAUAUCCAUCGGCAAUGUCUACAAGAAGGAGAAAGCCAGAGUCAUCACUGACUAGGAGGAAAACUUCAAGGCCUUGUUAGUCUCUGUAUGGCCCAUGCAAAUGCCCAGCUCUUCCGCAUACAGGCACAAAGAGCCAAGGAAGCUGUAGA